rnacentral:misc_RNA from 1 species
GAAAUGCGAUAAGUAGUGUGAAUUGCAGAAUUCAGUGAAUCAUCGAAUCUUUGAACGCUCAUUGCGCCCUUUGGUAUUCCUUAGGGCAUGCCUGUUCGAGCGUCAUCUAAACCCUCAAGCCCUGCUUGGUGUUGGGUGCCUGUCCCGCCCCCGUGCGCGGACUCACCUCAAAUCCAUUGGCGGCCCUCGUGCCGGCCCCGAGCGCAGCAGAAACGCGGUCUCGUGGCCCGGCGGAGCGUGCCCCCAGAAGCAACAUUCACCGUUUUGACCUCGGAUCAGGUAGGGAUACCCGCUGAACUUAAGC